rnacentral:tRNA from 1 species
GUCGGGAUAUCACAGAGGCUAUGAGCGGGACUGCAGAUCCUGAUACGGGGGUUCGAUUCCCUCUCCCGACCCCA